rnacentral:lncRNA from 1 species
UUAGAACACGGACAAGUUUCUAUUCAGAGUCCCCAACAUUCAGUUAGUAGAAUUCAUAACAAUGCAGUUAGCUAGAGCACUAACAGUUGAUAACUGUGACGAAAGUGAAACUGCUGCAACAGUCCAAUCAGUCUUCAUGAAAGGGGAGGCAAUUGCCCUGUUCCAGAGUAUCAGCUUCGAGCUCAACGUUCAGAAGGAGUGAAGGACCUUAAUCUUAGCCGAGCUGGAUUGCAG